rnacentral:rRNA from 1 species
CACACUAUCAUUAACUGAAUCCAUAGGUUAAUGAGGCGAACCGGGGGAACUGAAACAUCUAAGUACCCCGAGGAAAAGAAAUCAACCGAGAUUCCCCCAGUAGCGGCGAGCGAACGGGGAGGAGCCCAGAGCCUGAAUCAGCAUGUGUGUUAGUGGAAGCGUCUGGAAAGGCGCGCGAUACAGGGUGACAGCCCCGUACACAAAAGCGCAUGUGCUGUGAGCUCGAUGAGUAGGGCGGGACACGUGGUAUCCUGUCUGAAUAUGGGGGGACCAUCCUCCAAGGCUAAAUACUCCUGACUGACCGAUAGUGAACCAGUACCGUGAGGGAAAGGCGAAAAGAACCCCGGCGAGGGGAGUGAAAAAGAACCUGAAACCGUGUACGUACAAGCAGUGGGAGCACCCUUUGGGGUGUGACUGCGUACCUUUUGUAUAAUGGGUCAGCGACUUAUAUUCUGUAGCAAGGUUAACCGAAUAGGGGAGCCGGAGGGAAACCGAGUCUUAAUUGGGCGUUAAGUUGCAGGGUAUAGACCCGAAACCCGGUGAUCUAGCCAUGGGCAGGUUGAAGGUUGGGUAACACUAACUGGAGGACCGAACCGACUAAUGUUGAAAAAUUAGCGGAUGACCUGUGGCUGGGGGUGAAAGGCCAAUCAAACCGGGAGAUAGCUGGUUCUCCCCGAAAGCUAUUUAGGUAGCGCCUCGUGAAUUCAUCUCCGGGGGUAGAGCACUGUUUCGGCUAGGGGGCCAUCCCGGCUUACCAACCCGAUGCAAACUGCGAAUACCGGAGAAUGUUAUCACGGGAGACACACGGCGGGUGCUAACGUCCGUCGUGAAGAGGGAAACAACCCAGACCGCCAGCUAAGGUCCCAAAGUCAUGGUUAAGUGGGAAACGAUGUGGGAAGGCCCAGACAGCCAGGAUGUUGGCUUAGAAGCAGCCAUCAUUUAAAGAAAGCGUAAUAGCUCACUGGUCGAGUCGGCCUGCGCGGAAGAUGUAACGGGGCUAAACCAUGCACCGAAGCUGCGGCAGCGACGCUGAUGCGUUGUUGGGUAGGGGAGCGUUCUGUAAGCCUGUGAAGGUGGCCUGUGAGGGUUGCUGGAGGUAUCAGAAGUGCGAAUGCUGACAUAAGUAACGAUAAAGCGGGUGAAAAGCCCGCUCGCCGGAAGACCAAGGGUUCCUGUCCAACGUUAAUCGGGGCAGGGUGAGUCGACCCCUAAGGCGAGGCCGAAAGGCGUAGUCGAUGGGAAACGGGUUAAUAUUCCCGUACUUGGUGUUACUGCGAAGGGGGGACGGAGAAGGCUAUGUUGGCCGGGCGACGGUUGUCCCGGUUUAAGCGUGUAGGUGUGUGUUCCAGGUAAAUCCGGUUCACUUUAACACUGAGGCGUGAUGACGAGGCACUACGGUGCUGAAGCAACAAAUGCCCUGCUUCCAGGAAAAGCCUCUAAGCAUCAGGUAACAUCAAAUCGUACCCCAAACCGACACAGGUGGUCAGGUAGAGAAUACCAAGGCGCUUGAGAGAACUCGGGUGAAGGAACUAGGCAAAAUGGUGCCGUAACUUCGGGAGAAGGCACGCUGACACGUAGGUGAAGUGAUUUACUCAUGGAGCUGAAGUCAGUCGAAGAUACCAGCUGGCUGCAACUGUUUAUUAAAAACACAGCACUGUGCAAACACGAAAGUGGACGUAUACGGUGUGACGCCUGCCCGGUGCCGGAAGGUUAAUUGAUGGGGUCAGCGCAAGCGAAGCUCCUGAUCGAAGCCCCGGUAAACGGCGGCCGUAACUAUAACGGUCCUAAGGUAGCGAAAUUCCUUGUCGGGUAAGUUCCGACCUGCACGAAUGGCGUAAUGAUGGCCAGGCUGUCUCCACCCGAGACUCAGUGAAAUUGAACUCGCUGUGAAGAUGCAGUGUACCCGCGGCAAGACGGAAAGACCCCGUGAACCUUUACUAUAGCUUGACACUGAACAUUGAGCCUUGAUGUGUAGGAUAGGUGGGAGGCUUUGAAGUGUGGACGCCAGUCUGCAUGGAGCCGGCCUUGAAAUACCACCCUUUAAUGUUUGAUGUUCUAACGUGGACCCGUGAUCCGGGUUGCGGACAGUGUCUGGUGGGUAGUUUGACUGGGGCGGUCUCCUCCUAAAGAGUAACGGAGGAGCACGAAGGUUGGCUAAUCCUGGUCGGACAUCAGGAGGUUAGUGCAAUGGCAUAAGCCAGCUUGACUGCGAGCGUGACGGCGCGAGCAGGUGCGAAAGCAGGUCAUAGUGAUCCGGUGGUUCUGAAUGGAAGGGCCAUCGCUCAACGGAUAAAAGGUACUCCGGGGAUAACAGGCUGAUACCGCCCAAGAGUUCAUAUCGACGGCGGUGUUUGGCACCUCGAUGUCGGCUCAUCACAUCCUGGGGCUGAAGUAGGUCCCAAGGGUAUGGCUGUUCGCCAUUUAAAGUGGUACGCGAGCUGGGUUUAGAACGUCGUGAGACAGUUCGGUCCCUAUCUGCCGUGGGCGCUGGAGAACUGAGGGGGGCUGCUCCUAGUACGAGAGGACCGGAGUGGACGCAUCACUGGUGUUCGGGUUGUCAUGCCAAUGGCACUGCCCGGUAGCUAAAUGCGGAAGAGAUAAGUGCUGAAAGCAUCUAAGCACGAAACUUGCCCCGAGAUGAGUUCUCCCUGAGACUUAGAGUCUCCUGAAGGAACGUUGAAGACGACGACGUUGAUAGGCCGGGUGUGUAAGCGCAGCGAUGCGUUGAGCUAACCGGUACUAAUGAACCGUGAGGCUUAACCUUACAACGCCGAAG